GAAUAUAUAAUUAGAAUAUACAUAAAUGAUUACUCCUGUCAUUAUACUAUUCAGAUAUUAAUGCUUGAUUUUCCUCUCUUCAUGGAAUUUCAAGUUUGGCUAUUCUGUUACGUAC
rfam:Brassica napus, WGS project CCCW01000000 data, contig: 10607